rnacentral:rRNA from 1 species
CAGGCUUAACACAUGCAAGUCGAGGGGCAGCAUGGUCUUAGCUUGCUAAGGCCGAUGGCGACCGGCGCACGGGUGAGUAACACGUAUCCAACCUGCCGUCUACUCUUGGACAGCCUUCUGAAAGGAAGAUUAAUACAAGAUGGCAUCAUGAGUCCGCAUGUUCACAUGAUUAAAGGUAUUCCGGUAGACGAUGGGGAUGCGUUCCAUUAGAUAGUAGGCGGGGUAACGGCCCACCUAGUCUUCGAUGGAUAGGGGUUCUGAGAGGAAGGUCCCCCACAUUGGAACUGAGACACGGUCCAAACUCCUACGGGAGGCAGCAGUGAGGAAUAUUGGUCAAUGGGCGAGAGCCUGAACCAGCCAAGUAGCGUGAAGGAUGACUGCCCUAUGGGUUGUAAACUUCUUUUAUAAAGGAAUAAAGUCGGGUAUGGAUACCCGUUUGCAUGUACUUUAUGAAUAAGGAUCGGCUAACUCCGUGCCAGCAGCCGCGGUAAUACGGAGGAUCCGAGCGUUAUCCGGAUUUAUUGGGUUUAAAGGGAGCGUAGAUGGAUGUUUAAGUCAGUUGUGAAAGUUUGCGGCUCAACCGUAAAAUUGCAGUUGAUACUGGAUAUCUUGAGUGCAGUUGAGGCAGGCGGAAUUCGUGGUGUAGCGGUGAAAUGCUUAGAUAUCACGAAGAACUCCGAUUGCGAAGGCAGCCUGCUAAGCUGCAACUGACAUUGAGGCUCGAAAGUGUGGGUAUCAAACAGGAUUAGAUACCCUGGUAGUCCACACGGUAAACGAUGAAUACUCGCUGUUUGCGAUAUACAGCAAGCGGCCAAGCGAAAGCGUUAAGUAUUCCACCUGGGGAGUACGCCGGCAACGGUGAAACUCAAAGGAAUUGACGGGGGCCCGCACAAGCGGAGGAACAUGUGGUUUAAUUCGAUGAUACGCGAGGAACCUUACCCGGGCUUAAAUUGCAGAUGAAUUACGGUGAAAGCCGUAAGCCGCAAGGCAUCUGUGAAGGUGCUGCAUGGUUGUCGUCAGCUCGUGCCGUGAGGUGUCGGCUUAAGUGCCAUAACGAGCGCAACCCUUGUUGUCAGUUACUAACAGGUUCCGCUGAGGACUCUGACAAGACUGCCAUCGUAAGAUGUGAGGAAGGUGGGGAUGACGUCAAAUCAGCACGGCCCUUACGUCCGGGGCUACACACGUGUUACAAUGGGGGGUACAGAGGGCCGCUACCACGCGAGUGGAUGCCAAUCCCCAAAACCUCUCUCAGUUCGGACUGGAGUCUGCAACCCGACUCCACGAAGCUGGAUUCGCUAGUAAUCGCGCAUCAGCCACGGCGCGGUGAAUACGUUCCCGGGCCUUGUACACACCGCCCGUCAAGCCAUGGGAGCCGGGGGUACCUGAAGUGCGUAACCGCGAGGAGCGCCCUAGGGUAAAACUGGUGACUGGGGCUAA